rnacentral:rRNA from 1 species
GUAGGGAAUAUUGGGCAAUGGAUGCAAGUCUGACCCAGCCAUCCCGCGUGCCGGAAGAAGGCCCUCAGGGUUGUAAACGGCUUUUGACGGUGAAGAAUCGACAGGAUGCGUCCUGUUUUGACGGUAGCCGUUGAAUAAGCACCGGCUAACUCCGUGCCAGCAGCCGCGGUAAUACGGCGGGUGCGAGCGUUGUCCGGAUUUAUUGGGUUUAAAGGGUGCGUAGGCUGGAAGGUCAGUCAGCGGUGAAAAGCUGUCGCUUAACGAUAGUCUUGCCGCAGAUACUUCCUUUCUUGGAUGAGGAGGAGGCCACUGGAACGGAUGGUGUAGCGGUGAAAUGCAUAGAUAUCAUCCAGAACACCGAUUGCGAAGGCAGGUGGCUGUACCUUAAUCGACGCUGAUGCACGAAAGCAUGGGGAGCAAACAGGAUUAGAAACCCGGGUAGUCC